rnacentral:rRNA from 1 species
GACGAACGCUGGCGGCGUGCUUAACACAUGCAAGUCGAACGGAAAGGCCCUGCUUUUGUGGGGUGCUCGAGUGGCGAACGGGUGAGUAACACGUGAGUAACCUGCCCUUGACUUUGGGAUAACUUCAGGAAACUGGGGCUAAUACCGGAUAGGAGCUCCUGCUGCAUGGUGGGGGUUGGAAAGUUUCGGCGGUUGGGGAUGGACUCGCGGCUUAUCGGCUUGUUGGUGGGGUAGUGGCUUACCAAGGCUUUGACGGGUAGCCGGCCUGAGAGGGUGACCGGCCACAUUGGGACCGAGAUACGGCCCAGACUCCUACGGGAGGCAGCAGUGGGGAAUAUUGCACAAUGGGCGGAAGCCUGAUGCAGCAACGCCGCGUGCGGGAUGACGGCCUUCGGGUUGUAAACCGCUUUCGCCUGUGACGAAGCGUGAGUGACGGUAAUGGGUAAAGAAGCACCGGCUAACUACGUG